rnacentral:misc_RNA from 1 species
UUUCCGUAGGUGAACCUGCGGAAGGAUCAUUAACAAAUCUGAGGUCGCGCUAGUUGCAGAGUACUUUUAAGUGCUUGGUAUCUAGUUUUGACCACAUUGACUCGGGCACUGCUCUGACUAACACUUUUGUGUGGUUGGUGGGGAUGCCCUGAGACAUACACGCUUGUUUUGUUUGAUAGAGUAACCAGUAACCACUAAAUAAUGACAACUUUUAACAAUGGAUCUCUUGGCUCUU